GAGUGUUGCUGCUUUUAAUCGGGUUUAUAUAAAUGUUUUAAAAACAAUAGCAGAUGAUAGCUUUUGAACCAAAUUGAAAACAGUGCGUAAUAAACUUUCGAGUUCAAUAUCUUCCAAUCAGUCUUGCUAGUUAGUUCGAAAGUAAAACUGAAAAUGUCGUAAUAACGCAACCCAUUUAAAAAUUGAUUGGCACACUUCGUUGACUUCGUUUCUGAUUUCUGAAUACAAAUUCACACUUUUGCUGUGAGAGAUGUUAAAGGAUAUCCUAUCGCACAAAAUCCUUCAUAACAUUAAAAGUAAUAAUCUGACCAUCAAACGGAUUGAUAAUCAAACAAGGAGAUUAAACAUAAUUCUAGAACAUUAGGACAACAACACCAGUGGUGGCCACAAAAUUUGGAAUAUGUUUUGGUUACUUUCUUUGAAAUAAUUUCAGCACAGAUAUUUACUUAUUGUUCAGUAUGUGAUACCGCUAAGAAAUCAAUGGGUAAACGAAUCCCAUCGUGGACCUCGGCAGUUAAAUAUGCCAGUGUAAACGUCCUUUUACGAUUAUAUUUUUGAAAAGGUGGUAGUGCGAAUUAUAUAAUUGUACCACAUCCAACAUCAAGUUGAAUUGGAUUCACCACCCGGAGGGAAGACAUUCGAGUCGUUCAUUCGUCAUUCAAUUUUGGAAGUCGGACCACUGUUGUAAGGGUUUGUUCGAAAGCACUGCGCUAGCUUCAAUUACUGGUUGAUCCACGUAGCAACAUCAAAUUAAAAAA